rnacentral:tRNA from 1 species
GAGGGUAUAGCUCAUUGGUAGAGUGCAUGAUUAGCAUGCACGAGAUCGUGGGUUUGAUCCCCAGUACCUCCA